rnacentral:rRNA from 1 species
UCUGGUGGCCACAGCGAGGGGCGAACCACCCGAUCCCAUCCCGAACUCGGCCGUGAAAACCCUCCGCGCCGAUGGUACUGCGUCUUAAGGCGUGGGAGAGUAGGUCGCCGCCAGGC